CUUGAGUGGGCAGGUUCAGUCAUCAGUGGCUGCGGUUAGGUCCCGUCUCGGGUGUAUUUGCGCCUUGUGCCGGUUUACUCGUCAGUUCAAUAAGCGCGUUCACGGCGUACACUAGAAGUUAAAGCCAGCGAAUAUGACUAGAUUGAAGUCGGCGUGGUUGUACGCGAGUUAUACUAUACUUUUAAUCAUCGGUUCGGAUGCUGCACUGUCUGGACUUUAUAUCGAUAAUGGUGUCGAUCAAACUAUUAUACAUCAUUCCAUGACGCGACAUGAACGGCAAGCCGUUGAACACGAAAUCUUAGAGCUUUUGGGUCUAGGUGAGAGACCUCGACGCUCACAAGCCCCUCCUUUAGAUCGCUCGGCACCGAGCUUCCUACUUGAUGUAUAUAAGCAACUAGCAGAGGAACAUGAGCAGGCUAGGCCAACUCGCAGCUCUGAGAUGGCUCUCAGUGGUGAGGAACAACAUGCCAUCGAUGAAAGUGAUCUUAUUAUGACAUUCCAGAGUAAAAAACAUCACCUGGGUGCAUUACGCCACGGACACGGAAGACAUGUCUGGUUUGAUGUAGCGAGUGCUCCGGGAGACGCCUCAUCUCUCCUCACAGCAGAGUUACGCUUACACCAGGCACCUGUGCAUUCAGAAGACCCGACUGCAUUGUACACGGUGGUCGCGCAUCGAGUUAUAAGUGUAGAUAAUCUAGGAGGCAUUGAAAUGGAACGCAUUGCAGCAGUGAACACUAGUAUAGGAGCUGAAGGCUGGUUAGAGCUAAAUGUAACGGGAGCGUUGGCAACAUGGCUUGGUGCACCAGCUGACAACCGCGGUUUCUUUAUAACCUUACAUCCGCAUUCGCAACCAGAACGUCAUGUGAAACCAGAAGAAAUAGGAUUGGAUGAGACCCACGGUGCAAACUCUGAGGGAAAGCAACCUUUUAUGGUAGCAUUUUUCAAGCAUGGACCCAAGCUUGGUAGCUCUGAUACUGGUGCACGACGAAAACGCGAGGCAAGACGUUGGCGUAAUAAUGGAUAUUCUGAAAACUAUUUAAGGAACCCUUUAACAGAAACAAACCGAAUAAGACGUUUAUUGAAAUUCCAGAUACGUCGCAUUGGACGACCAGAAGCUGCGAAAUACAAACACUUUACGUUAGCUUUAAGGACUUAGAAUGGCAGGAUUGGAUCAUCGCGCCUGAUGGUUAUGGAGCUUUUUAUUGCAGCGGCGAGUGCAACUUUCCACUGAACGCACAUAAAAAUGCAACGAAUCAUGCAAUAGUACAAACAUUGGUCCAUCUUUUAAAUCCCACACAGGUUCCAAAGCCAUCGUGUGCCCCAAUCAAGCUUUCCCCCAUUUCAGUCCUUUACUACACGGACGAUUCAAAUGUGAUAUUGCGUAAAUACAAAAAUAUGGUAGUAAAGAGUUGUGGGUGCCAUUAAUGAAAUAAAACGUCGUGAUUUUAUAUAUUGACAGCCAAAACUAGUCGUGAUGUUUUAAUAAGCUGAAUUAGGUAGCUAAAUAUAGAUUAUCAGGUUUUAAUUAAACAGGUAUUUUUAAAUUAUAAUUUUAAUGUCACAAAAUUUUAAUAAAGUUAAACAGCUUUUAAAUUUGAUAUAAUUAUUAAUAACAGUUACAAUAAUAAAUCAGGGAUUUAAAUGUUAUCAUUAGAUUUUAGUAUUUAAUGUUUUGAGAUAAAAAAUAACUAUAAAAUGGUUUUUCUGAAUAAAAAUACUCAACGAUAUCAUUGCUCCGUCCGCUUAUUUGAUAGAGUAUUUAAUGUUUCAAAUAUCAUGAAUCAUUUACAUGUACCAAUAAGCUAAUCGUUGUCUGUCUGCCGCUGUAUUCGUUUACACCAGUGGUUCUCAAUCUUUUUGUUACGAGGAACACUAAUCUAAUUCUUAGAAGUAUAUUAUGUUGGGCAGAACACUUUAAAUAUAUUUUGAAUUUGAAAUUCAAACAGGACACACCUUUGUAAGUUCAAGAAUCAAAAAGGGAUAAAAAAAUGAGUUUGAUAUGGAAUUAUAAAAACAAAACUACCAUGGGGGGCCACGCGUCCCCGAAUAUGUACAUAUAUAAGAAAUUUUAACAUAUUCGUGUCAUUAAAAGACCCAUGAUAAAUUCAAAUGUGUCUUUCCCUGUUUUGUACUUAAUUCUCUCGCGGAACACUUGUUACAUAGUGUUUUUGCGGAGUAUCGUUGUUUUGCGAACUAUGGAUUGAGGACCACUGACUGCAAUAUAAAAACUUGACCUUUUUGUUGUCCGUGAACACUUGUUAAGGCAAGUUCACAUUAAUAUGCAUUUUCAGACAAGUAUCGUAAUUAUGAAUUAUCCUAGAAAUAUAAUUUACUGUUUAUAAUUAUCAUAAUUAUAUAUUGUAUUUAAAUAUAAAGUAGAAAUAAAUAUGAUUUUAAUUCCAUCAAUGUUUUAUGUGUAACAAUAAUCCUAAUUCAUUUAUAAAACAUGUUAUGAUAUAUGUUGUUAAAAUUGUAUUUAUUUGCAUUCACAAAAACAAUACGUAGGUCUAGAAAGUGAUUGAUGAUGUAUGAUGCUAUAAUAUUUGUAAAAAAACUCGUGACAAAAUUCAAUAUUAUUAUGUGAAAAUCUAUAUAAAUAAUAAUUAUUUUAAAAAUAUCUUCUAAGUUUUUAUUAUUCAAUUAGGGUGCUGUUUAAUUAUUGUUUAUGAUUCUUAAUUUGAAUACUGUCCGAAUUUUAUUAACAACUUUCGCAUCACAAUUAAUUAAUGAUUAGUAAAUAAGUUUCUUAAGAAUAAGGUUGUAUUUAUGUAAAGGAUCUGAAUUACGGCAAAUAAAUACAUAAUGAAAAAU